GCCUGGGAGUCAGGUAGCAGGGCCUUUGGGAUCCAGUCGCUCAUUGACUGUGAGCUCAGGCAAGCUCGUACACUCCAGAGGCUCCUCUGCUUCCGUGUUGCACGAGAAUGCAGUGUUAUAGGAUCCUAAAUGCAGUUGUGAGGAUUAAAUGUGAAAGUGCUCAUGGCAUACAGAAUGCUGAACCCAGGCCUGGCGCAGAAGGGUCAGCCAUUUCUAAUGGGAUACAGGCACACAUGCAUGUUCACCACAUGCAUGCCUGGUGCCUGCGGAGUUCAGAAGAGAUGAUCAGAUUCCUUGGAACUGGAGUUCAGGAUGGUGGUGAGUCACUACCUUGUGGGUCCUGGGAACUGAUUUCAGGUCCUUUGGAAGAGAAGCAAGUGAUCUUGACCAGUAAGCCAUUUCUGCAGUUCCUGAGAUUAUCUCAAACCAUGAAGUAUCAUCUAAAUUUCUGUUCAAUGACUUCCAAUCUCAGAUCCACCUCAGAUUCACUGUCAGACUAGAGGUAGCAACCCCUACCAAUAUACAUUUUUUAAUCCAGAGAAUUCAGUAUUGCUUUAGUUUUUCACAGGGCGUACAUUUGUCCUCUACAGUAUGUCUUUCAUGUGCUUGACCAGGCGAGGAAGGACUCAACUGAAAGAGGUGAGACACGCCCUAUAGGUUUUCAGUACUUGGGUGGUGUUUCCUGCCUUUCAGCUUCCUUACUUCAAAUUCAUUUCCAAUGGUUCUGGUUUGAUUGACUUUCUUUUUUCUGCUUAUGAUGGAUAGUGUUCAUAAAAUCCACCCAUCUGAAACAGUCCCAUCCAUACACCCAUCACACAUAAUGAUAGAGGGCAAUUCCAGUGCUUUGAAGAUCCUCUACGCUCUCUUUCAUAUCAGCGCCUCCACCCACACCUUUUGACUUCCAUUAUUGUCUGAAUGCUUUUCCUUCACCCCAGCUUCAUAUUGCAAUCAAAUUUGAUUGAUUUUACUGGACAGUGACUGAACAUGAAGAAUGCUAUUGUCUGUAACCAUAACUCAUUUUGAAAACAGAUGUUUCUGUAUGUUAUUUAUUUAAGUAUAUGUUGUACACAAAACUUCCUCAUAUGUGGCUGGCUUUUGGAUCUUAUCUAGUUUAUGGGUGUAGAGGACAAUUCCCUAUAGAUAGUCUUAUGAACAUCUUUUUUAACAGGUAAACUCAGUGUCUUGGUAAUAGGAGUGAAGUUGGUAAGUAGCAGGAUAGUCAAAUGUAUAUGGCAUGAGCAGAGCUGUCAAAUAGCCUUCCGAGGCAGAUGUCUUUUCUCACUCCUAGCAGCAACAUCUGAGGGUCCCAUUUGCUAUCACCAGCAUUUCUGUCUUCUAAUUUCAGUCUUUCAGGAGGUAAUUCUGACCUGGCAAAUUUGAUGUACAUCAAGAUGAUUAAAAACAAUGAUGUAAUCAUUCUGUGAAGAGAAGAAACAUCACUUACCCCGGCUGCUUCAUUUGCAUGGCAUUAGUUUGGGUUAUUUACACAAAUUAGUUUGAAAACUUUAAAACAUUUUAUGGGCAUUCUUGCUAAAAAAUCUUCCAAAUGUGUCCUAGCUUUAGGUAGGUUACUUAAGACAUAUAUAUUUGAUUUUUAGUGGGUAGCUUUUUCUUUCUCACUUCUUUAUUUUACAUUAUAUAUAUUUAUUUUUGUUGGAUAUUUUUAUUUACAUUUCAAAUGUUAUUCCCUUUCACAAUUCCUGUCCUAUUCCCUCCCCUUGUUCUAUAUGGGUAUUCCUCUCCCCAUCUACGCCCCCAACAUUCCCUUACAUUGUGGGUCUAACCUUGGCAGGACCAAGGACUUCUCUUUCCUUUGGUGCCCAACAAGGCCAUCUUCUGCUACAUAUGCAGCUGGAGUCAUUGGUCAGUCCAUGUGUACUCUUUGGGUAGUGGUUUAGUCCCUGGGAGCUCUGGUUGGUUGGUAUUGUUGUUCUUAUGGGGUUGCAAACCCCUUCAGCUCCUUCAGUCCUUUCUCUAACUCCUCCUUAAAUCAUUAAGCAAGAAUAUGCUAGAUAGACUUGACUACAGGCAAUGUGACGGAGGCAUUUCUCAACUGCAAAUGGAUGGAACUUGAGACUAUUAUCCUGAGGGAGAUUACCCAGUCCAAAAAGGACAUUCAUGAAUGGUAUCUACUCACUUUUAAGUGGAUAUUAGCCAUAAAAUACCCAUUCUACCCUCCACAGACACAAAGAAGCUAAACAAGAAGGAAGGCACAAUUGAGAAUGCUUUAAUUUCACUUAAAAGGGGUAAUAAAACAGAAGAGGCAGAUGGAGGGAGGGAACUGGGUGAGAGAGUGG
ensembl:lncRNA